UGAGUCUGUGGUAACGAGUUAAUGUAUUCAUAUUAGAUAUCAGUCRGCUUCUGUUUAGAAAACCUUGUUUCCUACUGAUUUUCUUCUAUUUAUAUUUUUCAUUCUAGAGUUUUUGGAAAAAACAUGCACAUACUUUUAGUACAUACACGAAAAAUGAGCAACAGAGGUUAGUAGACUUGAUUAAUGCUGGUUUUAGAUUUGUGCUCUGUGUCCAUUCAAGGUAUGAAUUAGGCCAAGUAAUACUCUGUGUGAUUGUUCUCUUCCAUAAAAAAGAGAUAACAUUCAUCAGAUGAGAAAAGCUAUCURAUUGUAAAAGUGUAAUUAGUAUCCAUCUAAGUGUCUACGCAUCUACUGCAAUAUUCUGAAGUAAUAAUGACAAUAAUAUUUUUCUGUGCUUUUAAAUACUAAUACACCACAAAUGAAGGGAUGCAUGUUGUGUAUGGAAUGUAGCAUAGUAGUUUGAACUGCAUUUUAUUUCCUUAGAAUUCAGAUUCUUAAAACUUCGUUUGAAAAAAACAUCUACCACACUGUUGAUUACGAGGAACAUAUUUUUACUUCUGAGAUGCAUCUGAUGAAAGAAGACAUGAAAGGACUUCAAGAGAAACUUCUUAAAGAAAUGGUAAAUGAAGUUAUCUUCAUUUUUAUUAUUUUUUAAAUAAGCAUAGAUGUUUGCACGUUGACUUACUAAAAAUUAGUUUCUCAUACACUAUCAAAAGUGCAAGUGAGA
rnacentral:lncRNA from 1 species